AAGUUCCAAAUGGUUUUUUAAUAAACCUUCAGAAAGUUUCACGUUCACGCCCAUUUACACCAUCCUAUUCCUUAUUAUUUUUCACAUGCUCACAAAACCUAAAACCCUAAAAGCUUCAAAUCUUCAUCUCUGAAUGGGAAAAAUAUUUCGUGUUCACAUCUCUUUGUCUCAAACCAAUUUCACUCUUCGAUAUUUGAUUGGUGCGUUUUACAUAUCUGCGAUGCAUUUGACACUAGUUGCUUAGAGGAUUUAGUACGCACGGUGUAUGUGUUGCGGGUUCACGACGACUGCUUCGAAGGUUCGCGACUACUUCCAAGGUUAACGAUUGCUUCAAUUUAACGGUUGUGCCUUUUCCUUUCAAAAUCAUGCCAUUACCAUUGAAAUGAAGCCUACAUUGAUGAAGGAAAGGAGAUUUGAUGUUAACCAUGUUGAUCUAGGCUAGAACGUGUGCUCUCCACAUGAUUACAUCAUUAAGAAAGUGUAUUUGACGUUUGUAAUUCAUGUUGUAGACCUUGUAGCAUUAAUUAGAUGUAGUUUGGUCUUUAUUGUCUUUAAAAUGUCACUUUUAGUCUGUUGAAUGAUUUUUCAACUGGUUAAAAGGUUGGCUGUAAUAGUCUUAAAUUGCAACAAAUUCAAUCAGUU